GCGCCCCCCGGCGGCGCGGCAGGGGCUGCCGCUGCGGGUGGGGCCGCUCUGUGUCCCGUCCCGGAGCCCCGCGGAUGCCUCAACCCACCCGCACCUCAGUAGUAUUUUUCCUCGUGCCCAUGGCCGGCCGAGGCCUUCUCGCAGCGCACGUGUUCCUGCUGGCGGGGUGGGGCUGGGCCCGGUGUCGGCUGAGCUCCGGGAGGGCAGUGAACGGCUGCAGCGCCGCUCAGUGCUGCCCAACGCUCCCAGGCGGUGGAUGCCGGCCGGAUCCGUGGCCGCUUUGUUUCAUCGCCUUCGCGGUUCGGGUGGUUCGCACAAGCUGCUUAAGCUGAGAGCUGACACCAGUGGUUGCAGAGCAGUCCGCAGCUUUGAGAUAAGCCGAUGUGAAUCGGGAUUAUCUCAGCUAGCCCACAUUUUCAAGCAGUGCACAUCGGGCCAACCAAACCGUCACCUCUGUCACCACGUUGUUCCAUAUGUCUUUUCUACUGCAUUCCUAACGAGUUCUGCAUGGUUUGGGGUAAUGGAGCAGCUGCAGGGCACAGCGCCUCCCAGAGGAGGUGGUUCUGCAGCUUGGGUCCCUUCAGUGCUGUUUUUGUGGGUUGGUCAAAGCUCCCAGAGAUAAACGCUGAGUUUAAUCAGCCUUCAAACACAGACUUCUUUCCUUUGUCUCCCGAUUUUGGCCAAUAGGAUAUGUUUUCUCUGAGUGAUUGUUCAGGCUGGAAAAGAGUAUGCUUAGGGGGACCUCACUGCUCCCUGCAGCUCUGAUGUGGUCGUGGUGAGGUGUGGUUGGCCUCUUCUCCCAGCUGACAGCAAUGGGACAGAGAGGGGAUGGCCUCAAGUGUGCUGGGGGGGGGGUGUUCAGGCUGGUUGUUGGGAAGAGCUUCUAAAAAGAGUGAUAAAGCUCUGGAAUGGGGGCUGCCGAGGUGGUGGAGUCACUGUCCUUGGAGGUGCUCAAGAAGAAGUAGGUGUGGUGCUGAGGGACGUGGUUAGUGGGCGUGGUGGGGAUGGGCUGACCGUUGCAUUGGAUCAUCUUGGUGGUCUUUUCCAAUCUCGGUGAUUCUAUGGUAGGCAUACCUUAAAAAGUGCACGCAUAAAGAAGCCUUCGGUCUUUGUUAACAGGCUUUUCUAUUCUUUUGAGAAAUGUUGUAAAUCACGAAGCUCUUCUGACUUCUUGACAACAGUAAGAGUUUAGGAUGUGGAUGGUGAAGUCCUUCUGCAUGUGGUGUCCCAACGGGCUUCGCCAGUAAUUAUUUUUAUCACAGAUGUGAGAAGGGAACACGGGGCCGUGUUUUCAGUGACCAGAGUGGCGAAUGGCUGACUGGGAGCCUGCUGGGCACGGCAGCUGCUUGGCCUGCAGAGCAAACUAAGGAGCAGUGCUUCCAAAGCCAAAAGUUAAACCCAAAUGCAGUUUUCAUCCUUGUCCGGGUCAAACUUUGUGGUAUAAAUUUUGCCAGCUGUUAAUUUACGUUUUUAAUUUUCACAUUCAGGUGUUAUUAGAUUCAUUUUCGCAUGAGUACAGAAGCAGCAGCAGCACUUGGUCGGGUGAGAAACUUCCCUCUGGUCUCGGCCGGGCAUCUUUCAUAGCUCCUGCACUUCCACUGCCGGUCACGAGAUGGGGUCAGCACACCCCGGAUCGACGAUUGUUGCUCUGAAACGCGCAGCAGUGACAGCUAUCUCCUAUCUCAGCGCUUAUUUUGCCCAGGCUCUGAGAUGGUUCUUCUUGGCACACAGACAACAGUUACACCCAUAAUUGGAAAGGCACAUUGGCUUAGAAAAGAGAAUGAUUCCACCAUCAGUGUGGAAUCAUUCACCAACUGCUGAAGUGACGGUUUUGUCUUCAGAAAGUGAGUUGUUCUAUUACUUUCUGAUAACCUUUACUCUUAGUUCUUCUGAAACUGAUUGGGGAACAUUGAAAGGAUGUGACUUGAGAUGUCCUAUUCCAGGAAGAGUCUUUGAUUUUGUGAAACAGCCCCAAAUAGUUCUGCUCACCUUACUCUGUUUUCAAGGCCAAAUGGCAAAUGGAGAGUUUUCAAUGCUAGCAUUUGCUUUAGUGCUGCAGUAUGGAUGAAGCUGUGUUUUCAGAAUGGCUGUAUGUCCGUGGGCCUUGGCAGCACCUCCUGGCAAGCAGUGCACAGAGACUCCCUCAUAUUAAUGCUUUCGAAGUGUUGUUUAAAUUAAAUGUUGUGCUUUCAUGGGUCUCGAUGUGAAGCCUUUUCUUCUCCUUGAGUUUUUUGUCCUCCUGUAGAAGUCGUACAGAAUGUACAUGCUGUUCUGGGAGGGUUUCCAUUUGAUGGGAAAGCUGCUCACGCUCUUCAGCUUCAUUUGAGGCUUCUUGCACUUCUUCCAGUUCGGUAGAGAAGUCAUUGUGUAACUUUGAGAGCAUUUCAGCUGUUCAGUGCAGAAUGCCCAUCAGCAAACUAACUCCAACCACGUCAAUCAUUACCAGAAUAUCUGCAACAACAGCUGCUAGUUUUUCAAACAGCUUUUUCCUUUCCUGUGUGAAAGAAAUUGAUAUAAAAUUACGUGAUCAGUCAUCACCAUCUCUUUCAGUAGCAUUCAGAAUUGUUCCAUGCCAAAUGAAAUAUAAAUAAUUGUGCCUGCCAACACUGCCCCGAGCUGUUGGAGCUCAAGGAGUGUUUGGAGAACGCCUUCAGAUGUAGGGUUUGGUUUUUAGUGGUUCUGUGUGGAGCCAGGAGCUGGGCACGAUGAUCCUCAUGGUCCCUGCCAACUCAGGGUGUUCUAUGUUUGACCCCAAGAACUAUUCAAACUCAAAGUACCUAUGGAUGAAGAUCAAAGGGUACUGAGGUGCUGCCUUUUCCACCGGCUCUGAAGUCCCUCCUUACAAGCAUGCUUACCUCGUAAAGACAUUGGUCACAGGGUAUUCUACAGGGAUAUUUGUACUUUGAACACUUUACUACAAGUGUUUGGGAUAGAUGUAUUGCUUGUCCUUUGUGGAAAACAGCAGUUGGAAUUUGGAAGUGUGCACUGAGUAAUAUAUCUUAAUGUGUUUCUGGGUGGUGAGCCGGGGCAGCGCAACUGAUGCACCUUGGGGCACAGCAGCAUCUCCCUAAAGGCCUCCGUGCUGGUCUGUGACUGCAUCAGGCAGCCCCUCUCUGCUGGCAGCCUGGCGUUCUUGAACCAGCUCAGAUCUCUGUAGUAACAGCUCCAUGGCAGCAGCAGCUUCCUCUGACAGCUUAAUUGGGUCUUCUGCAUCUCUGAUCUCACCAGGCCCCUGUGCAAAUCGCUGUGUUACACCAGAACGUCCCCUUUUGUUGGAACACCUUGGGCUUGAUUUGGGUACUUCCUUGGGUGUUUAACACUCAGAUAUUGAAGCUGCCCAGCAUCUGUAGCUCUGAUUAGAAGAGCUUUACAUCUCAAUGCAAGACAAGUUCCUUGAGGUGGUAAAUUAUUUUAUUACCUGCUUUUUUUUUCCCUUUAGAAUAGUCUUUUGCUUUUGUUCAGUCAUUUGAAUUCACAUUAUCAUUGCUGAAAGCUUCUCCAGAAAGUCAGCCCACACCUUGCUAGCACUGUUUCUUAUGUUAUCACUAACUGCUUUGAAGUGUUUUUUUAGGGAACAGGAUCACUCACCACAUUGAAAGCAGGGAAUGGCAUCUGUCUGAGGAACAUUCCAGUAACAAGGUUCUGGGGAUCUACUGCCAGGUACUGAAAUAUAUGAAACAUUUCUGUGUUCAGUGCAGCCAGAAGGCCUCAGCCCCGCAGUUAAGGAGAGCUACUUUUCCUCAGUCUUUCUGAUUUAAGACCUUUCCCAGAGAAAGAGAAAGGAAUAAGUGGUGAGGCACUACUCCAGCCAUUGAAGGCAAAAUGCCUGCUUGAGUGUUCAGUCUGAUUGCAGACCAGUCAGGAUUGUCUGGUCACUAUGUAGAAGAUAAUCUGUAAUCCCCAUUUCCCAACAGCAGCCUGUUGCUGCUCUCACCUGGAGUCCUUCUCCUCUUGCCAUGAUCUGUGUCCUGCAGCUCACAUCAGGCGGUGCAGACUGGCGCCAGGUGCUCUGAGGUGUGCUCUGGAACAGGUAGGAUGUGCAGGUGUAAAAAUAGGCCUGUGAGGGGAAGUAUCAAUGGGAGUGCGUGGAACCCUUGUGUGGGAAGUGCAGUGUUAUUACAGCGCUCAGUGAUAGCGCCAACACUGAAUGCUUGCCUUUUUUUUUUUCUGCUUUAAGUUAUUGUGGAGGAUAUUUGCUUUAAAUUUUCUGUGCUCUGAAUUAGUAUCUUGGCAUAGAGUAAGUUCGUUUUCUGUUGGUAGAGCCCUUUCCUUGGUGUCAAGUGGGGCUGCAAUGCAACCAGGAUUCAAGGAAGAGUUCUGUCUGCUUAGGCCGUGGGGACAGGACCCGGGCUCCGUCCUCACCGUGGCUGUGAUUUGCUGUGGUGGUUGAGCAGGCACUGCGUGCUAACUGGCCUCAGCUUAUCCUUCUUUAGAGUAAACGUGGUAUCGUGCCAAAAAGCAAGGCUACGCUUAUCAAAACAUGCCUUAUCAAAUAUUUAUUAAUCUGCUACUCUGUCAUAUGUGGUAACUCCAAAACAAAUCGACUGCACGGUCCUCUGUGGAAAACAGCUGUGCAAAGUAGGCAGGGAGUGCCACUGUCCCUCUUACACCACAUCACUAAGAAAGGAAUUCUUCAUUUUAACCUCUGCUACUUACUUCUUUAGUGAGACUGCGCCAUGCACUGUGUUCCUCAGAGAGCUGCUGUCUGUCACUGCCCAUUGCUUUGCUUCUGCUCUGCAUUCUGCUGCAGGAGGGUGAGAAGCUGGAACAGCAGUACAUCUAAAUGUAUUCUUUCUUGAUGGGCUUUUAUUGAUCUUCCAGCAACCCGAAAGCAAAAGAAUGAAGCAAAUAUUGCACCCUGAAGACACCAGUGGUCAGAGAAUUAAGAUCACUUUCCCUUCUCAAAAUGCUUUAUAAAGUAGCAAGAUGUGUGUGUGAAUUAUUUACACUUCAAAAUGCAUAGAAUCCUACAGGAGAAGUCUUCAUUAGCAGCUGCGCACGAUUGACAUGCUGACAGAUCCAGGCCUAGAAUAAGUAGAUUUUGAUCCAAGAGCCACAGGAAAAUCUCAGCUCAUUGUUUCUGUGCGGGUGGAGAGGGAAGGACUGAAGCAUUUGACUCAGAGCAGUGCUCUGUUCUCAGGAGACAACUGGAGCCAAGGAAGAGAAGUGGCAAGAGGACUCCUCUGGCGACAUUUUGGUAGUCACCGUAACUUGGACAAGCCAGGAGAGAGCUGGCUGGGGGACCUGAAGCAGGAGAAGAUCAAGGAGAAGAGUCCUGAUGUUAUGGAGGAAAAGUUGCAUCCAGCUCCUCAGGGCUCAGCGACGAUAUUGCCACCAUCACCCGGUGCGUCGAUGAUGAGAGAACCUCUACAACUGAGCUCCGGCGCCUCUGGAUGAUGCGAAGAAGGGGAUCGGAGGAAGAAUGCCUCCGACCCUGGAAAAAGUUGCUAAAAAUACUCACUGCUGAGCGCCGCCGGGGUGAGCCCUGCAUGAUGACCAGCACCAGUGACAGCCCAGCGCGGCUGCCGAGCAGGCACGGAUCUGAAAGGCAAGUUGCUCAGCGCUGAAGUUGCAGCGAGAUGCGCAUCGCUCCGUCUGCUGGAGCAGCUAGUCAGCAUGGGCUGAGCUGUCUCCAUAGUGACAAACAAUGAGGGCUCUGCUGCCAGCCAGCCCCGUGGCAGUGACAUUCUAUAUGAAUUGCUUCUGUUUGGGACAAAAUGUUCCGCUGCUGAUGAAAAUAGUUGCGUUUCAAGUAGAUAAUUGUGAAAAUGGACCGGGAACAACCAAAACAUUUUUCCACAAACAAUAUGAGUAUUUUAGUUAGUUGUAAAUAACAUACAUUCAGAACUCACUCAGGCACAAAACAGUAUAUUCAAGAGAACAAUCAAAAUGUAUUUGGAGGCUCUGCUUCCUGAGAAAUCUGUAAGUACAUUAUACACCCCCACCUCCUGGUUUUACAUUCCACAACCACCUCUCUCCCUCCGCUGAGCUGCUGCAAAAUGCAUCAUUAGCUCUGUAAUAAUUGGGAUUAGUGUGCUCCUACUGAAAUGGCUCAGUACACCAUGAAUUGUAGCCUGUUCACUCUGGACCAUUCAUAUCUUCUAACAAACACAAUUUGUUACUCAAAACAAAAGGCUUAUUUUUUUUCAGGGCACAGCUCUUUUAUUAACCAGAGCUGUUAGCCCUACAGAGUGAGAUAAAGCAGAUUAUGGGGAGGAGAAGAUGCAUCAGUUGAGUGCUUUAGGCUUUUGAAGGUAGAUAUUAGGUGGCAAAUUGCCUCCCACUUUGCUGCCAGUGUGCUAAGAUAGAGAAUGAGCUGGCCAGAAAGAUUACUGCGUUCUCAAAAGCACAACAUUCUCAAGCAACUUAUGUGGAGAAUGGAUCACAGAAAUGUGGUGGUUUUUUUUUUUUUUUUUUUUUUUUUAAGUUAUCCAAUUGUCUGAGUGUUAAAGGAGAGAGAGCAGGGAGAUGAGGAAAACUCACCAUAGUUUUGGUCAAUUAACAAAAUCCCACUGCCUUUUGCUAAGGAUGCAUACUUCAUUCAGUCUGAUUUUUCCUUUUGUGUUAUGGAAACAGUAAUCCUUAAAGAGGAGUAGUGUAUGAGAAAGCUCUUUUUUGAUACAAAAUCACAAGGCAAAAAUCUGCUGUUUCUUCCAGGUACUGAACAGGGACUUAGUGACUGAAUUUUGAACACUGCAGCCCCACUCUUAAGACACGGUAAGGACUUCUGUAGAAACCAGGCACCUGGAAACAUCUGUGGUGAUGUUGUAUGUGAAAAGGAGAACGUUAAAGCUGUUAGCUGUUGUCUCAAAGAUCUGACUAUCCUAACGAAGCCAAUAUAAGAAGACGGGGAAAUACUUAAAUAUGCUUUUAUUUUGGAUGUUAGGUUGAAGAGAAGGGAAGGAGAUGAAAAAUGCUCUUCAAGUGCUGCCUAUGUCCAGCAAACAAACAAACAAAAACUCCUUUUGAGUUAAUUACAUUGCUUUCUCAUAUUUAAUUCUUAACUCUUUUUCUUCCCAGAGUUUUUUCUUCUGUAUAUAUCAAGUGAUAGUGGAGCCAGAGAUCAGCAAGCAAAAAUGCUGCACACCAUUAUUUUUCCACUGAAUCUAGCAUGAUUUACAAGUACUCACCCAGAAACUUUCAAUAUUUUCUUGGAGAGGGUUUUUUUGUUGAAGGUUUGUUUGUGCCUUCAGAGAGUUAGGCAGCUUCUGAACAUGGAAAUGAUGCCAUUCCUUUAAGUAAGAGACUUAGCAACUUGAAAGUCACUGAAAAGUUCAGCAUCAUAACACAUCAUGGCAAUGAGAAGUCACACAGUUUGUUUUUAUUAUAGCCAUUUUGUGCUUAUAAUUUGGGAAUAACGUCCGUUUUUCCCCUAUGGAAAAUUGCUUCUUUUUCUGAAUUUAUGUAAGCUGUUUAUAUGAAUGGCAUAAGUGAGAAAAUCGUUACCUGAACUCAUAUUUGCAAGAUACACACUGCUCUCUAGCAACGAAGAGUAUGGUAGUUCAUUUUGCAGCAAAACUCCUGCAGCCAUUGCAGUACCUGUGGAAACAGUAAUAUGUUUGCUGUCAAUCCACAAGCUCGAAAAUGCAAAAUAAAGCUGAAUUAAAGCUCAGUACCUAUCACCCAGUUACAGAGUCAUGCAAGGGUUAAGAUCUGGGCAUUCAGGCACAGACCGUUACAUUCUUUUUGGUGUGCAAUCUUAAAAUUCGCCAGUUCCGCCAUCUGUCCUACCAAUUAGAAGUCAUUUGUGUAUUUCCAGCUCCAGCGUCUGGCUGAUGAUGUACCUUACAGCUGUGUUUUAUAUGCCCAGGAGCCACUCACCUAGAAGCCUUUAAAGCCAUCUCGAUGUUCUCAAAUUCUUCAAAGUAAACAUACAACUAUAAAUCCUGAACUGGAACCUUCCAAGGGGCAGUUCCAGCAAAGCCAAUGAUAUAAGAAUGGCAACACUAUUUCUGGACCAUACCAUUCAUAAUUUUAGUUGAUACUUCCAAACUAUGUGUAAGGUACAUGCCUUCUCUGCUCUCUACCCUCCACUCUGUUUUAGUAAACUGGCAAGUUUGAAAUCACAUGUAUGAAGAUUCUCCUUCAAUAAGAAAACAGAACACAAGACUGCCUAAGCAAAAAGCAUGUUUUCUUAUAAUACAAAGCAAGCUGAAGAGACUGUAUCUGAAAAACAGAUAAUACAAGGAAAGCUGUCAGUGUGAACUUAUAAGUCAGUCACUGUGAUGUUUAAGUAAAACAACUUCAUGGAUCCUGAGUGCACAUCCUUACUUCUCUUAUCUCAAUAGUAAAAUAGUUGCAAAUAUAGUACUAAAAAAAGCAUGUCCGUACUGUAACUAUUGAAACUCUUUUAAAGAAACGUUCUGUCCCAAAUUCUGCAGAAACAAUACUAAGAUUCAGUGUCACAGUGUUCUCAGAGACAGGUUUACUGCAGUAAUAAUAGUGAGGAUUAUUACGCGGUAAACAGUCCAGUACUGUGUUGAGGGAUUAACUGCUUGUCAUUCAUUGUGCAUCACUUUAGCUAUAAUUCUGAGUAAUUGCUUUAGGUAAAUAAUUGAAUCAAUUCACAUGAAAUUUCAUUUAUAGAUAUUAUAUUAUCUAACACAUACUUGAAUUGAAACUAUUCUUUCUAUAAACAGUGUUCAUGGACUUUAUUCCACAUCAGUGUCACCUGGUACAGUCCCAUCCCUUACAGAUGCUUAUGGUGGGAACAGCAUACACAUACACACGAGUAACCCCUUAAUACUUACUGCAUGAGUGGCCUCAAAGAGAUGAGAAUUGCAUUUGUCUGUCAAAGCCAAGGGGUCUUUUGAAAGUUCAGUGAUGCUAAGCAAUACAUUCCUUAUGUAAAUAUGUAUAUUAUGAAGAAUGUUCAUUAAGAUGAGUCUUAAUGUAGAAUAAAGACAAACAUUUUCUA